rnacentral:rRNA from 1 species
ACACUGACGUCGCGACGCAUAUCAAUAAGCGGAGGAAAAGAAACUAACAAGGAUUCCCUUAGUAACGGCGAGUGAAGCGGGAAGAGCUCAAAUUUGAAAUCUUCAAGGUCUUACCUUGACGAAUUGUAGUUUAAAGAAGUGUUUUCUGCUGAAGUUUUGGUAAAAGUUCUUUGGAAUAGGACAUCAUAGAGGGUGAGAAUCCCGUAUUUGGAUCCUUUACUUCAGCGUUGUGAUACACUUUCAAAGAGUCGGAUUGUUUGGGAAUGCAGUCCAAAAUGGGUGGUAAAUUUCAUCUAAAGCUAAAUAUUGGCGAGAGACCGAUAGCGAACAAGUACCGUGAGGGAAAGAUGAAAAGAACUUUGAAAAGAGAGUUAAACAGUACGUGAAAUUGUCAAAAGGGAAGCGUUUGACACCAGUGUUGUUUUUCCGAAAAUCAAUUACGAAUGUUUUAUUUUUGAGAAGUUAUGACUUCAUCGGCUUGCUUCUCUCUUUAUGAAACUUUCUUAAUGCACUUUUCGGUUAACAAGUCAACAUCAAUUUCUUUUGUUGUAAAAGGGUAUGAGGAAGGUGGCUUUCUUUUCGGAGAAAGUGUUUAUAGCCUUGUAGCCUCUGCAAUCGGAGAGAUUGAGGUCUGCAGCGUAGAUCCUUCGGGGUUAGAUACAUUUGUGCUAAGUUAUAGCUUUUCAUAGACAACUUGUUGACUAUAAUUUAGUCUUAUAGCUUACUCGCUUAUGCUAUUUUACCUACGCUUAGGAUGUUGAUGUGAUACUGCGAGCA